UGUUCUACGUUCCCACCAAUUUCUCAUGAAUAGAGUUCUGUCCUGACUUUCUGGACCCAUGGAAAGGAAGAUGUUUGAGGUGAUUGGUAAUUUUGCCAAGUUGCCUUCCAGAAGAGUCCAGCACAGCACGCUGCCAGUCACAGGCAUUUCCUGGUUCCAGCAGUUAUACAUGAUCACGUCAUGCUUCAUAACGAAGUGUGUUUCUUCUUUUUGUGUCUUUUGAUAACCUUUUCCCAUUGACUUGUUGACAUCUUCGUGGUUUUUGACCAAUCACAAGAUAAAAUUGGAGUUUUCCAAAGACAUGCGAACAGGAGACAAUCAAAGACCCAUGUAUGUGCCUGAGAAUUUUCUGGAAAGACUGACCCUCUGAGUAAAUGGAGCCUUAGGACAGACCUCACAGCUGCGCGACUCACCUGCUUCUCCGCAUCUGUGCUGACUCUGUUAAAAACCAGCAUCUCUGCUUGUGCCUGCCUUGAGGAUCCUCUCCCGGUGUCUUGAAAUCGCCUCCCACCUGCGCUGUCCUGAAGGUGCCCAAGGGUAACUUGAUGUCCAUCUGUGUAAGGCAGAGAUGGAUGAAAGUCCUGCUGCUCCACCCUUCCUUCUGGAUUAGAAGGGCGUUUCACUGGUACUUAUCACCAAGAGAAGACACCACACUUCCAAGGCAGGGCCGGGAAGACAGAAGGCCAGGGGUGCUCUGGAGCCUUCUCCCUGCCCUGUGGUGGUGUUGUGUAACUAUCACCAUAAUAUAAAUAGAGGACAUUUCCACGGGC